rnacentral:tRNA from 1 species
AAAAUUUUAGUUUAAUGAUAAAAUGUUUCAUUUACAUUGAAAAGAUUUAUAAAAAUAAAAAUUUUA